ACUUAAUGCUUCAUUUAUUCCACUGAAGGAUCUGCCAUAUAUAAACAAGUAAUUCAAGAAAUUAAGCUGCUGUAAGCACAGCAAUUGUCUCUCCAGCUCACUGCAGGAACACCCCUGGUGUAGUUUCAGAAAAGAAUAAAUGGUGUCAGCACUGCAGGGAUGUGUCUUGUUCACCAUACAUUCAGACAGAGACAAUGGAAUGAAUGGAAGAUGUGCUGUCACUUUCAGCUAGAGCUGUGGCCUUCAAACCAACUCAGGUAUCAGUUACAGAGCAGCAACAAGCAGGAGUCAAAGCAUAUGGAGCUAUUUCUAUGGCUGCAAAGAAGGCAGCUAGUCAGCCACAAAUACCAUUUUUACAAGUGCAGUUCAAGUAGUCAGGAAUUAAAAACAUAAGAAUGCAAAUAUCACAUGAGGAGCAUUAAAAUGAUACACUGCUGAACCAGAAUCAAGCACUAUGCACUAUGGAGAAGGUAAGCUGUAAUUCUCAGCUAUCACAGUUCCCCUCAUCUCAUCACAUUACCCAGCCCAAGUCAAUGUGCUCAGACAGGCCAUGCAAAAUGUCUGUUAUAAAUAAAAUGAAUACUCUUUGAGAGCA